CCUACGGGAGGCAGCAGUGAGGAAUAUUGGUCAAUGGACGAGAGUCUGAACCAGCCAAGUAGCGUGAAGGAUGACUGCCCUAUUGGUUGUAAACUUCUUUUAUAUGGGAAUAAAAUGUUCCACGUGUGGGAUUUUGUAUGUACCAUAUGAAUAAGGAUCGGCUAACUCCGUGCCAGCAGCCGCGGUAAUACGGAGGAUCCGAGCGUUAUCCGGAUUUAUUGGGUUUAAAGGGAGCGUAGGUGGAUUGUUAAGUCAGUUGUGAAAGUUUGCGGCUCAACCGUAAAAUUGCAGUUGAAACUGGCAGUCGUGAGUACAGUAGAGGUGGGCGGAAUUCGUGGUGUAGCGGUGAAAUGCUUAGAUAUCACGAAGAACUCCGAUUGCGAAGGCAGCUCACUGGACUGCAACUGACACUGAGGCUCGAAAGUGUGGGUAUCAAACAGGAUUAGAUACCCCUGUAGUC
rnacentral:rRNA from 1 species